rnacentral:lncRNA from 1 species
GGGGGAUGAGGGGGGGGGCAGCGUUGCGCUUCCGGGCCGGCGCCGGGGCCGAUCCCAGCCCCGGGAGGGGAAGGGGGCAGAAAGCUUCCAGACGCCGCAGCCUCGGAAGACGAGCAGGGAGCGAAGACACCGGCCGCACGCCCCCCCGGUGCAUGGUGCCGUUAACGUGACAGAUAUCUGCAGCACUCUGCCUAAUCAACACUUCAGAUGCCAUCCAACUGGGGAGCAGCUCGUGCCACGAGAGGUCUUUAAUGAAGGUAUUUAUUUUCCUUUUUUUUUUUUUUCUCUGGUGCGUGUGUGUAGGGGGGUGAGUUUACGGCUAAUUUUGGACCAUUCUGAAUUUUGACCAUAUAUGGUCAGGACUUCUUUUCAAACUUUGCCAAAAUGAAAUGUGAUGAUUAUAAAAAAGAAAAAAAAAAAAAAGAGGAAUUACGGAAAGGAAAGUAGGAGAGCUCGUGUGCUAAUCCCCAUUGUUCACAAGGCAUAUUCUGCUGUGCGCAGCACCUCAAGCUACACAGACGUUGGCUGCUUUUCUCAUGGAGUCGUUUGAGCCGGCUGGAUGGUCGAUAUGUUGGUGGCUGGAGUUGGUUACUGCUCUUUUGCUUUCGCUGGCCUGGUGUCUGUUUUCUGCCCUGUGUCGGAAGUGCCACAAUUGAUGAAUAUCUUGGUUUUAAUGACGCGAUUAAGAGGCCGUGAGUGCAAACAUGUGCUGGUCAGCUUCUGAAAAGUCACUGGGGAGGAUUUAGGCCCCUGUCUCUCCUUCAUGAUUCCUGCUCUGUAAAGGACAAUCUUAUAGCAAUAUUUAUUUCCACUUCCAAAAUGCUUAGAAGGUACAAGUGCUAAGUAUUUUAAUCCCUUAUGCAAUCAUUACCUAUUUUUAGAACCUGAACCAUUUUCAGUGUUCUUUUUACAAUGCAAAUGCGCUUUUAUUGAGGCUUGCAGAAUGAACUGUUUAGAGCACUUAAGCCACAGGGAACAGGGAUCUGUCAGGGACUGUUUUAACAUAAUGUUUGUAAAAGGCAAUGUACAGAACAUAAAGAUCUGCUGCGAGCCACUUGUAAAUUAAGCACUGAAAGCUCUUUAAAAAUCCCGACAU